rnacentral:rRNA from 1 species
UACGUAGGGGGCGAGCGUUGUCCGGAUUUAUUGGGCGUAAAGCGCAUGCAGGCGGUCCUGUAAGUUUGGAGUGACAGUUUCCGGCUCAACCGGGAAAGUGCUUUGAAAACUGCGGGACUUGAGGGCUUCAGAGGGACACGGAAUUCCGGGUGGAGUGGUGAAAUGCGUAGAUAUCAGGAGGAACACCGGUGGCGAAGGCGGGUCUCUGGGCCGUAACUGACGCUGAGGAGCGAAAGCAUGGGGAGCGAACAGG